CGGGUGAGUAACACGUAUGCAACCUGCCUGCCACAGCCGGAUAAUCGGGAGAAAUUCCGUCUAAUACGGCAUAAUGCAUCGACGGGACAUCCUGUUGGUGCCAAAGGUUAAUUCCGGUGGCGGAUGGGCAUGCGUCGCAUUAGUUAGUUGGCGGUGUAACGGACCACCAAGACGACGAUGCGUAGGGGUUCUGAGAGGAAGGUCCCCCACACUGGUACUGAGACACGGACCAGACUCCUACGGAAGGCAGCAG
rnacentral:rRNA from 1 species